GUGGGGAAUAUUGGACAAUGGGCGCAAGCCUGAUCCAGCCAUGCCGCGUGAGUGAUGAAGGCCUUAGGGUUGUAAAGCUCUUUUGUCCGGGAAGAUAAUGACUGUACCGGAAGAAUAAGCCCCGGCUAACUUCGUGCCAGCAGCCGCGGUAAUACGAAGGGGGCUAGCGUUGCUCGGAAUCACUGGGCGUAAAGGGCGCGUAGGCGGACUCUUAAGUCGGGGGUGAAAGCCCAGGGCUCAACCCUGGAAUUGCCUUCGAUACUGAGAGUCUUGAGUUCGGAAGAGGUUGGUGGAACUGCGAGUGUAGAGGUGAAAUUCGUAGAUAUUCGCAAGAACACCAGUGGCGAAGGCGGCCAACUGGUCCGAUACUGACGCUGAGGCGCGAAAGCGUGGGGAGCAA
rnacentral:rRNA from 1 species